AUUUCUCCUCUGUUCAUCACGACAACAGGGACAACAAAUAACACAAUGGCAGAUGAAGGGCCCUCCAAGCCCUCCAGAGCUGAAGGAGUCUGGGCUGUCGGCAGCGUCUGAGUGCAGGGGAACAGAAGCUACAGUCUGGUGGGGUGUGGGGAUGCCCUCUGACUCCUCCUGGAUGGGGGCACUGUGGCCAACUUUGUCUCGGAACUGUGCUGCUCCUGGUCAAGGCAGGCAGGGCUGUAGCAGCCGCCCUCCGCCCGCCCACCAGCAGGCUGGGACUCAGGGCCCCAUGGGCUUGGGAAACUGAGAGAGAGCUAUGCGUGUCAGUUGUCUUAAGUUUUUUCCCCUUGGUCUUAACCCUGUAGGUACUCUUGUGUUCAAAGGAGGAAAUGGAAUCUCAGAGAGGCUGAGUCACUGGUGCAUAGUAACACGGCUCAUCACAUAGCAGUGCUGGGACAAACACUCCCACAUUUCUGAACUCAAAGCACAUCCCGUCUCUCCGGCACUGAGUCAUCCAUGACACAGAGGUCCCUAUAGGGCGUGAGUACAGCCCCUUACCUCCCAGCCUCAGUUUCUCCACGAGUGCACCAGUCAUUGAAGCUUGGGAGUGUGCCAAGCUUUAUCCUGCCACUUUAUCCUGCCGCCUCACCUGACCUUGCUGGCAUUUCAUCCCUGCCUCCUGGGGCUGGGGCUAGACCUUGCCUAGUGUCUCAGCUGCUGGCUGAGGCUCUGCUCAGCCACUCCUGAACACUCCUUUUUCUGCUGUGCCCCAUCCUUAGGAGCAGGGGCUCCCUCUGAACCAGCCAGGGCCACGACAGCAGCGCAUGCCACCGUCCUUUGGAAGCUGAUCUCAACACCAGUCUGGACACUAACUCUGGCUUACAUUGUUGAGCAUUUGUUGAGCUCAAAUGUAAACCCAGGAACCGGACUCUGAGGUCUGCCUACCUAACCAUUAUACAGACUUGCCUCUUCCUCAUUUGAUACGGUUUUUUGACCUUAACUACCUUGGUUAUUCUGUUUUGUUAAUAUCUCCUUUCAAAAUGAUUUUUAGAACUGAACCCAAAAUUCCAGAUGUAGCCCGACCAAGCAAAGCCCAGAAGAACAUUACCUCCCUCUGUUUCAAAAAUUGCUUUGCAAUUAAUGCAGUCUAAGAUGACACCCACUUUCCUGGGCCCCCAGUUCCCAGAGUCGACUCCUAUGGGGCUCUUCAGCCAGCCCUGUCUGCAGGGCUCUGCCUUAAAUCCCUAAGUCUUCCAGAAAUUAGAUGCUGUGGCAGACCUUUUGUGUGGCUGAGGUCUGCAACACCCCAGCGGUCCCCACCUCAAGGGCUGUGUCUGCCAUGGCUGCAUGCGGCCCUGCUGUGGCUCACUGUGGACGCGGCAGAAGAAAGAGAACAUGGUCUCAGGGAGAUCCAGUGGCCACCAGGCACCUGCAGCCAGGCCACACCACCCCCUUAGGAGUGAUGGGGGACAGCAAGAACUGACAAGCCCUGAUGACAUAAAAGCCUCCAGGUGACCAGCAGUGACAGAAGCCAGCCAGGACAUCCUUUCCAGAACCUUCUCUAGCUCUGCUGGCAUAAACAGCAUCUGGUUUUGCAAGGCUUUCUUUGGUAUGUGUCUAUGGUCAUAAAGAAUUGUAAUCAACAAUGAUUAAGGGUCAGAAUAUAGGCUGGUGCUGUGUUUCAUCGCUUAGGAGCAGAGGAAAGUGGUUGAGGUCUCUAAGCAGGUGGGGAGCCCUUGGCCCCUAGGAAGGCAGGAAAGUCCCCCAGGAUAAAUUUCUCUGUUCUAGACUCUGGUGAACCCAGCGGAAAGCCCUAUGGGCCUGGCUAGUGACGGAGCUGCCUUCUCCAUAGGCUGUUCACCAGUCUUGAGAGUCACCUGCCCAUGAAGUCCCAGGAGCUCUGACAUCCGGUGUUCACGCCCAUGGAGCAACCAACAAGAAUGCUCUGUUCGCUGCCUCAUCCUUCGAUCUAAUGCAGCACCUGGCAUAUGGUAGAUGCUGAGUACAUUGUCAAACAAACGUAAGUGAAAGGAAACCUACAAGAUCAUCAUCUGCAGAUAAGCCACAAGGUAUCAGCCCUAUUUUUAGAGGUGGCAGUGAGGCCCAGAGAAGUAAAGUAACAUGCCCAAUGUCACACAGCCAGUUAGUGAGGGAAGUGCUAGACUCUAGGUCUCCUCUCACUAUACUCUCUUCCUUCUGAAGAGGGGAAGGUAGGAAUGUGAUGACCUCGGCCCCAGGGCCAAGAUCUGUUCUUGCCAUGUUUCUUAGCUGCAUUGAGUUGACAGUGAUCUGAUGUGGCCAGGUAAAGAAGAGAUGGGUUUUCUCUGGAAAGUGACUCUGCUCCCUGACUUCUGGCAGGCAUGCAGGAGUGGGGAGGAGGUGUCUCUGCAUGGAGCUCUACAUUCUGUCUUAGGAGCACAGAGCUCUUCACAGCUCACCUACGCAUCUUGAGCCCAGCUUUCUUCUUCCAGGAAGGGAGAACGAAUGCAACUAUUAAUAAGGUAAUAAGAACCGAAUCAACCACCCAGUCUGGUCUUCCAGACGAGUUUGAUGGCUUCUGGUCCUGGGUAAGAGAGACAGAGCCCGUGCUGCAGUUUCCUGGCCUAGAGGAUGAGUGUCUGCAGGUCCAUCUACCAGUUUCUAGAAUCUUUACAGCAGCAGGAGGAAGCAGGAUGGGGCUUUAUACGGGCUCUAGUCUCUUUACGAAAUCACUCAGAGGAAAGCAGGGACCUAGGAGAAUUUUGGAGUGUGGUAGCCAGACAGACCUCUGAGAAAUUCCCUUGAUCUACACUAGCCAUCACCAAUAUCCCUGUGCCUCCGUUCUCUCCCUUUGGAGGGCCAUUCCCGGCACGAGUUACCCAGAACUACCCGCCCAAUCAGAGUCCUUGGCUUUCCGUGGCAGGGGGUUCUCUCGCCAAGAGCAGCCUCACCGGUCCUGGAGCCUGGGCCAGAGCCUGCCUGUCACUCUGCAACUCCGCAAUGUCAGGACACCAAAGGGCAGUGCUAGUAGCCCGCUGCAAGCUGACAAGGCUGAGUUCACGUCAGUGCCGAGGAGUCGACAGGACCAUCUGAAUUAAGUGGCCAAGUUUAGUUUUUAAUUAAGUCCCCGUGGUCUUUUAAAAAGGUCACUGACGACACCAUCUUCUUUAAGGCCAAUAUGAAAAGACAUUCAAAGUCAAAGUUCUGAGAUGGGAGCCUUGUAACUUGAAAUGUCACAGGAAGAAAUUUGGAAACAGGGAGAGAGGAAGCUGGUGGGAAGGACAACCCUGUCACAUUCUUUUGCUGUCAGCUUCACAGUUCCCACGUGGAGCUCCAAACUAUUUUGGUCUCAAAGGGCAAGUGGUCCCAAGAUUCUCUUGAGUGCCUUCCCUGACAGAGGAUUGUGGAGCCCCUUGUUUGCUGUGCCAGUGAAAAAUGGAGCCCUUGUGGUCCCUGACAUGGAAUAAAUGUUGAUAGCAAUGGGGCAGAAUGUGGCAACUUACCCCUGAUGGCUGGGGAAUUAACAAAAAUGUAUGCAAUUGGUCACCAUCCUCUGCACCCAUUCCUGUGUUCACUUUUCUACUACCUCGGUCAAUACUGUAUCAUUUGGAAAUACAGUUCCGUCUGAAGCAGAGCAUAGCAGCCACUUAAGUCACCCAUAGCAUCCUAUGAGGAUUGUACAGUGAGAACAAAGACCUGUGCCUGGCUUAUACCCCUAAGAGAAGUAGAGACUUGAGGUAAUUUGAGCAGAGUAGAACACACCUCCUAGAGAAGAGAUUUGGACCAGCCAAUAGCUAAUGAGCAGGUGCAAGAAUAUUUUCCUGGAGUUCUUGGCUCACACCAAUGUCUGGGCAGCGGGACUUUCUGAAUGGUGAAGCAUUCAGAGACUUUGCCAGGGUCAGAGGGUUUGGAAGUGCUCAGUAGUCUGUGUCACAUUUUGUUCAUGGUUUCGAUAGACCAUAUAGGAAGUGGAAAGAAUUUUGGAUUUAGAUUCAGAAAAUUUGGGUCUUGGGGCAAAAAGUGCUAUUUGCCUACCUAAUAUACAUUCUCCUAUUUAUUUACCAUUACAAUACUUUCAUUGUUGGUGUGGCAAGUUAUCCAAGUUAACCAAAUAUGGAUUUCCUAGCCUUCCUUAAGAAGCUAGAAGUGAUUAAUGAGAAAUAAUCAGAAAUCACUGGUAGCCUUCUUUAAAGAUGGCUGAUUCACCUGGGAGGUGCACCUCUUUUGUCCUUUCCUCUUCUUUCUUCUUCCGGCCUGAAAUGUGGGGCUAAUGACUGGCGCUUCAGCAGCCAUUUUAUGAUCAUGAGGUAUGACCUAAGAAUGGAAGCCAGUGCUAAGGCUGGUCUGCCCGCCUACCCCUAGGCUUCAUUUUAUGUGAGAGAAAAGCAAAUCCCUAAUUUGCUUAUGCCACUCUUACUUUGGAUCUCUGCUACACCCAGUUGAAUGCCAAACUGAUACACAUUGAUUGCCCACUCUGUCAUUCACUCCUGAGGGACUUUGGGCAAGUCACUUAAUUUCUCUGAGCUUUGGUUUCCUUACCUCUGCAGUGGGAAUAAUAAUUCAAGCUUUGCCUUGCAAGCGUUACUUCUGACCUGUAGGGCCCACUCUUAGACUUCUUAGAAUGUUCUCAACCCCAGUCUGAAGAUCAUGUGGUCUUUUGCCUGAGCAGUGGCUGCCUACCUCCCAUUGUUUGGCCAGAUAAUUGUUCCCAAACUAAGGAAUGUGCCUGCCUUCAGACUUCAAUGGCUGUUAUAAAGUCCCCUUGUGGGCUCCCAUUUUCUAGAGACACAAUAGCUUUUCCCUGGCUUGCCCAGGCCUCACCCCUCCUUGCUGGGUGCAGAGACAUCUGCUGUUUCAAGCUGCUAAAAGGGAAGCUUCAAAGAGCCCCAUAUUGGCCCCUCUUAGGGCUCUGACUCAUAUAAAUGUUUCUGGAAAUCCUCAAAAGCCUUAUUAAUCUGUUAAGACAUCCCAGAAGCAGGAGUCUGCACACCCAAUUUCCAGGGCUUUUCAGCUGCUUCCAUUGUCUCAGGCGCAUUGUCCCUGCUCGGUGUCUUGGCCCCUAAUGGACUCUCUGAGGCAGGCACGCUUUCGGCUGCACCUGCUAUUCCAUUGCCUGACUCUUUUCUUCUUCUUCUCUGUUCUUUUUAACUCUUAACAUGAAAAGGUGACCAGCUCUUCCUGGGCUGUUUAUUCCUCUAGCUCCCCUGUGCGGGUCUCUGCUUCACCCCCUUUCUCUUCUGGUAUGUGGCUAGAUCUGAGUCAGAGACAUAGAGGCCCACAUAGAAAGUAGGGGCCCAUUUGUCUUUUCCAUCAAAUGGAAGCCACUAGGGGUCUGUCAUGCCUCAUGCCUAGCCAACAUACCUGGUAUCCCCAAAAGCCUCUGAAGGGGACCUGCUUACAGCUCUUGCAUAUAGAAGCUCUAAUCAGGCUUCUCCAGGAACCCCCCUGUCUCUGGUCCAUACAGUAAUGACCCUCUGAUGUGUAACCUUCACUGUGAUUGAAGGGCCCUGGAGAAAGAGCCAGAAGACCAAGGCUCUGUUCCUGGCUUGACCCCAGCUGGUUUCUAUUUUCUUAGUCUAGCAUCAGGGGACUUAACUUGACAGACAGCCAAGAUCCCAAGGUGGGCAGUUUGCCAAUUACUCCUGCCUCCUGGUUUUCAGACCCCUGUGUGCUCCCUUCCCUUGAGUAUGGGCUACACCUGGUGACUUGCUUCUAACCAAUAGAACACAGUGAGAGUGAUGGGCUAUCACCUCUGUAGUCAAGUUAUAAAAGACUGGUUUGCGCGUUCUGUCCUGUUGGCUUUCUUUUUCUCUCUGUCUCUUCUUCUCAGAUGCUUGCUUUGAUGAAGAAAGCUGCUGCAUUGGAGAGGCCCACGUGACAAGAACUGAGUGUGGCCUGUAGCCAGUAUCCAGUGGGCAACUGAGGCUCUCAAUCCAACAGCCUGCAAGGAACUGAAUCCAGCUGACAAGCAUUGGAGUGAGUGAGCUUGGAAGCCAACCCUGCCCCAGGUAAGCCUUGAGAUGGCAAAGCCCUGACUUACUCCUUGAUUGUAGCCUUGGGAGCGACCUUGAAGCAGAGGGCCCAUCUAAGCUGUGCCCAGAUUCUUGACCCACAUAUAUUUAAAGAUAAUAAAUAUCUGUUGUCUUAAGCUGCUAAUUUUAAUACAGCAAGAGAUAACUAAUAUAGGUCCUUAUUAGCUAAGAAGAAAUGUGUUUCUUGCCUUGUUCUUCUGUACUUAAACUGUAGGUCCUUAAACCUUUCGUACCCACGAGCUAGCCACUUGGGUGGUGCAUGUGCAACUCCAUCAACCACCCCACUCCAACACUCAAAUCUAUGGGCUGUGCAAAUCCCUUUACUCUUACUCCAAACACACAUGAUCAGAAAAAAUGGAAGAAAGACAUAGCUGAAAUAGAGCUCCAAUGAGAUGAUUCCUGGUUUCUACUAGGAAGAUAAGUAAAAUUUGAAUUUUUGCCAGAAUCCAAAGUAUGCAACGAAGAGCUCCUUAUACACCUCUGAUCAUUCACUUCCAAAACUUGGCUUAAACUUUCCUUCUCUGGGAAAAAAGACCCUGACUUCAUCAGUUAGGGUUACUGUUCCCUCUCCCAGUCACCCAUCAGUUUUGUCUAUAUCAGAGCAUUCUAUUUUAAUUAUUUGCAUGUUCCCUUCUCUCUCUCACCCCUCCACGCAUCUCCUACCCCAGGAAGGUCAGCAUCCAGUGACCUCUUCAGGAAAUUACCCACUAUUUCACAACCCUAGUCAGAAGCGAAAUUUAAAACCCUUUGUCCUCCCUCCUCCCCCAGCCCCACGAUGUUCCAGGAAGCCAAAGCACACAGCAAUCUUUCCAAUCUAGGAAGCAAUAAAGAAAUGUAUUUAUGAACCAGCCUCUAUCUAAGGGAGAGAAUUUAUGUCUCUUCAUGCUCUUGUUGACAAUAAUAACUGAUUGCUGCAUCAAUGUGAUGCAAUAUAAUUUUAAAACCCUCCAGAACAAGGAUCAGAAAACAACUGGCAGAGAGACUGAGCGGCUGCCGUGGGCACCUUGGGUUUUGCAGCUCAGCCCUGGGUCUGCUAAUGCCCUGAGGCGAUGGGAACACAGCUCCGGGAGCACCUGCAAUCUCAUCUCGUUUCUUUCCAAGCACCGGGGAAGAAAAGCAAUUUGUUUGCUCUCAUACUCUAAAGAUGAACUUCCCGUGCUCAAUCAAACGUUAUUAUCCCAAUGUAAGUCAAUUUACCUUUGAAUUUGAAGGCUAUUUUCUUCCUAAAUGGCUAAUUAUGGGAGAUAGAUGGCUGUAAACAGAAGCCUUCUACCUCAACACUCAGCCAGGUUUUCUCCUUAUGGCAUCUGAGAGAACCAGAGAAAGGAGGCCUCGCAGUGUCCCGGUCCCCUCUGCCCUCGUGCUGCCCCUCUCCAUUCUUCUUAUGCAUCCUGCGAUGCCAUUCUCCCUCCCCACCUACAUUCCUGGACACCUAUUUGGAGUUUCAUCCCCCUGAAUUCCGUCCCCUGCCGUGCCCAUUUCUAGGAACUCCGUUCCCUCGUGCCAUCUCCCCUUUUUAAGGACUGGACUACAGGUGGGGGUCUUGGCCUGAGAACCGUGCAUACGGGACAGCAUGAGUUUUAGGAGACAAGGGGUCCUGUGUGUGUUUGAGAUGAAACAAGGUCACCUGAGGCUGCCUCUUUGAUUUGCCUGGCGGAGUCACAGAAGCAGACCGCUGCGAGGCAGGGGCUGCGGCCUGUUCCCGUGGCGUGAUCAACACCUCGCAGGAACUAAUUGAAUGGCUGAGUUUGUUUACUGAGAGGAGGAGCAGCCCCCUCCUUUCUUGCAAAACAAAGUCUUUCCCCAGGAGCGGUGGCGAAGAGGUCAGCCCUGGCGGCGUUUCUAUUUGCCUUUUGAUGAAUGCCUAUUCUGGCUGCUCUGAAGGGAGCUGCUCAUUGUGUGCUCACUGUCAGAGGUGGCUCCCGCAGGGAGGCCACAGCCCUUGGAGCUUUUUGGGCCUUAGGGUUAUGGAACCCGGCGUGUGGGGUUAUCUACAGGGACUGAGCUUUCCAGUUCUUCUCCCAGAAGUCUGGCCUCUGGUCCUCUGCCCUUUCCACCUGGGCCCCAGAAGCCAUAGUAAUAGCAACCUGCCUUUGUCCGGUGCCUCGUGGUUUAUGCGAGUCUACAUACUUUAUCUCACUUGAUCCUCACAACCAUCCUGUGGUGUCAUCCUCCCCGACAGAUGAGGGAGAGGCCCAGAGAGGUCAAGUGCUCUGCCUGAGGUCACAUAGCUAGGAAGUGACAUAACUGGGACCUGCCUCCAGGCUCUUUGGCUUGAACGCCUCUGAUAUCUCCCAUCUGUCACAGUCCCAUCACAGAAAGGCAGGCAUGUGGCCCCUUGGUUGGAGUCCUGCCCCAGCUGUGGAUCCGCGUCACCUGGGCCAGGCUUCCAAUUUAUGAUCCUUACUGAGACCUUGGCACCACGGCCUUGAUAAACCCCUCUUCCCCGAGUUUGAGCUUGCUGUUCUGUUGGGGGCAGUUUGCAGGGCUGGGAGGACAAGUAAGAAGGGAGGAGCUUUUCAUCAACUGCUCUGGAAAAGUUUAAGGCUGUGGUAAGGUCAGCUCAGGAACGUACAGCAGGGCAAGGGGCAGCUCAGCUACGGAUACAGAACUCUCAAGAAGUAAUGAUCGGAGGCCUGACUGAGGCAUGGAGGCCAAUAGGAGACACUCGUUCUCCUAGCUCAGACCAGGGAACCUAGAACAUGCUCCUCCAAGUUCACCCACUGUCACCCUGCAGGGGAGGGGUCUGCCGCCCUCCAAAAAAGAAUCCACUGUGCAUUGUGUGGACUGUUAUUCAGAGAUCUCCCUACAGAUUCCUGGAGCUGCUGGGCCCCAUGCCGGGGUGAGAAUCCCAGGACUCCCUGUUUAGCUUAGUACUUUGAUUAAAACAAUAAAUCCCCAUUGAAUACCGUUGGGCAGGCAAGUGGGGGUCUCAUGCCAGCCUCGGCUCCCUCCUGGCAUCAUCUCACAGCAACUGGUUUGGGGAGAAAUACCUCCCUCUCCUGUGAUGAGAGCCCUCAUUCCCAAUGGGUGAGGGGGAGAAGCUGCCCGGGAGCCUCAGGAAUGAGGGCAGCAUGGGCAGGACGGGGUAGGACUGGGGCAGCUUCAGACAGCACUGAGGAGAUGGGGGCCUUGACUAAGCAGGGAGGGGCAACAGAAGGGGAGAGAGGGAGCACAUGGAAACCUCAGUGACUGGCCCCUGUCUGGUCCUCACCUUCUGACCCUGUCUCCGCAGACAUGCUGAACCCGGAGGAACACGCUUGGGUCUUGGCCCCCUGAGCAGCUGUGCUGGAGCCACGCCUCAGUGCCCAGCACUGCUGCUUCUGCUCUCCGGCAGCACAUGGCUGCGUGUUUCUCUGGGCCCUGCCUGGUGCACAGCAGCCGUAUCCUGGGCAGGUGUGCUGGGGCUGCUGCCUCACCUGGCCCUGGGUCGCUGGUAGCUCCGGAUUGACCCGGGUUUCUGACGGGAAGGGCCAUGUGGGAGAAGUCAGGGAGUGGAAAGAGAACCCAUGUUCCCUGGUACAAGGCUUUCACUCGUGUCUGCCCACAUAGCCCCCCUCGUCCCACUGGCCUCGAGACUGGAGAUCAAUAUCACAGUCCCAUCUUUAAAAGAAACCAGGAUCUGUUUUGAGAUGGCCGAUCAGCCAAAGAAAACCAUAAUUUGCAUUAUCCAUUCACUUUUCAGUUGACUUCCUUCCUUCCUUCCUGCUUUCCUUCCUCCCUAUCUUUUUUCCUUCCUCCCUCCCUUCUAUCCAUUCAGUAAUAUUUACUGAUAAUCCUUCACAUGAGGCCAGAUGCUAGGCUGUGGAAAUUGAAGAUGAAUAAGCAACAGCUUCUGUCCUUGUGCUGUCUCCUUCUGGUGUCCAGUAUUAUGACCACUGUAUUUCUGAACGAAAACAAGGACACAGAGCUGACAGGGGUGAGUGUACACAUGGGAACGGGCAGGGAGACCACCCUGAAGGUCUGAGGCAUUCUGUUCCUAAGCUAGGAUGAAACCAAGUAUUCUAUACAUACAGGUCGCAUUGCGUUUUUGUCUAGCAUCCUUUAAUAAGUACAGUAAGAGCUACCAUUUGUUGAACAUGUACCAUGUGCCAGGCUUGUUCAAGAUAAUGUAUAUACCAUAUCUCAUUUAGUCUUCACCACAGCCCUACAGAGAAAUUCACUGUCCAGACAGGGCAACUGAGGACCAGGCUGUUCAGUCAGUGUCAGUACUGGCUACUCUUCUUGGCUACUCAAUCCUCUGCUGCUCCUACGGCUGGAGGGUUCUGAUCUGUUGGUGUAUAGGUGUGUCCUGUGGGCCACAUAGGGUGGGUGGGUGUCCACAGCACACGGCCUGGAGCCAUGGUGCACACAGCAGGGUGUCUGAGGCUGUGCAGAAAGGCCCACUUCUAAACAACGUGUCUGAGCUUUGCCAGGUGUCCGUGUUUGGAACAUAAUAAAAGAGGAGGUCUUAGAAAGGAGGUGACUCAGAGAAGCAACGCUAGACUCACCCCAGAGCUGCAACCUGCUAACUUCACAGACCCUCACAGCAGAAUUACUUAACACCCCCACCACCCCCUGAACGCCUCUCCUCAUGGGGACAAAAGAGAAAUCAGGCUGAUGCUAUCUCCCUCACAGCAGGACUUAGGAGGAGCAAAUGAAGCGGCAUAUGUAAAAGUGCAUUGUAAAUUGCAAAGUGGCAGAUGAGAUUAGUAUUACUGCUUCCUGCACCUCAGCAAAGACCCAUAAUCACAAACGAUGCAUUGAGCAUGGCGUAGGGUGGCCUUUCUUGGCCCUGCCCUUUCUCCUUGGUUCCUCCCACCCUCUUGGCUUUUCUCCUGGAUUCCCUGCUCUCCCAUCUGCAGCAGGUUGGGGCCCCAUGGAUAACGAUAUCUAAGAACCGACUCCUGGGAUCUUAUCAAGUCACCUCUACAGUUGGUGCCUCCUUAGUCACUGCCAAGAUCCCAGGCAGGUAUAAUGUGCCAAUCAGGGGCCCAGUGGGCAACUUCAUCUUCAAGUGCAGGGAGUGGGAGCAAUGGAGCACCUGUGGUCUCCAGGUCUCAGGCCACUCGGGUCUGGGACUCGAGGCUCAGAGGGAGAAGUCCUGUGGUGACUGCUGUGAGGGAGUGGUGUGGGGGCUUAGGAUGGGACCUACUUCAUGGGACAUGAUGGAUGAGACUCAGGAUGCCAGAAGGGAGGCACAGCUCGCACUCAGCAGCUUGGCGCAUGCGAGUAGGAGCUCUGCUCACAGCCUGUGCUGGGCACUUCAUUUCCCAGAGACAACCAGCGCGUUUUAAUAAUGUCUACUUGGGUUAAUGAAAGUUGUCAGUUUCGCUUAAUAAAUACAUCGCCAUUCUCGGCCGUACAUAUCCGUCAUGCUGGGCCUGGAGCUGUGUGUCCCGCCUGAGUUGAGUAGGGAUGCUGGGAGUGGGAAUGGGGUGGGAAAAGCAUGGGGCAUAUGGGUAGCGACUGAGGUCUGGAGGGCAGGGGACAUGGUCCCUCUUGGGAGUUAAGCAGAGGGAGUCCUGUCAUUGCAUCUUUCCUCUGGGAUCAAAUCAGAGGCACAAAGGGCAGAAGGGAAGCUUGGAGGUUCCUCCUGUUCAUUCUGGCUCAGGGAAAGGACACACAGUCUGGCCCCUUUGGAAGGGAGCAGUGAGCCAUGGUGUGGCCAAGAGAGAUGCAGCCCAUCUUGGGAAGGAAUCCCAGUUGACCACUCAUUAUCUCUGUAACUAAGUCAGUUAUUCAAUCUCCCUGAGCCUCCGUUUCUCAUCUGUAAAAUGGAGCUAAUAAUCAUAUUUGCUUCAUAGAGCCUGUUUCGAGAAUUCCAACAUAAGCCAUGGGAAGCUCUUAGCAUGCACCCAGCAUCUAAAGCACUCAAAUCAGAGUCGGUAGUAUUAUUAAUGGGAAAACAUUAUUUUUAUGAAGGCACAGUUUACUAUGGUGUUUAUGAGUGUGGGUUUGGAUUUCGGUUGUAUCACUUACUAGCUGUGUCACUUUGGACAAGUUAUUUAAUCUUUCUGUGUUUCAGUUUCCAAGUCUGUAAAAUAUGGGGAAAUAAUACCUAUCUUAUGGAGUCGUGAGGAUGGAGCAAAUUAAGACAUGCACAUCCUUUGGACACAGACCCAGUAAAUGUUAAGAAUUAUUAAGUUGUUGAUUUCACAGGGCCAUUGGGGAGGGAAAUCCGGGCUCCCUGGGAACUGCCUUGCACAUAUCCCCACCUUGGGGUGGUCACCAGACCACAUCCCUGAUGACCUUACAUACCCCAGGGGCUGAUAUCAGGCAGAGACCCUGGACCUUCCAGGGAGGGAACCGGAGGACUCCAGUCAGAGUUUCCAAGCUGCAUAACUUGGUUCAUGGCUGGCAGCGAGGGGAGAGACCCCAGGGAGGGAGCAUGUUUCACAUUCUGGGGACAUUCUCCUUGAACUCUGCAGGGGCUUAAAACAUCCCUGAGUGCCAUACAUCUACAUGCUGGCCUUCUUCUGCACUCUUUUUUUCUUUCUUUAAAAGCUUAGACUGAUUAAAGAUGGGAAGGGAUUUGGGGGGGUCAAGGGAGGACCUUGGAUGGGAAGGGACGGAAGCUCAGAUGAUGUGGAGGGGUGGGGGUGGCCGGGCGGUGCUUUCUAGCUGAAGUAAGCAGCUUCGGAACCUGCCUACCACGCUGCCUGGUAUUCCAGGGUUUGUAAACUGCAUGCCACAUGUUUAUCCUUAUUAAGCAGUUCUCUUCCAAGGGGCUCUCUCUGGCAGCCAAGAAGCAACCACAGGGCUUGUCGUGGGGCUUACGAGUAGCUAGGGCCUCCCAGGAGGUCAUCAGAGUGGAUGGGGCGGGGUGGGGGGCAAAGCCAGGUAAAUACCUGGAGGCUUCCACUCCCUAAACCCAGGGAAAUGAUGGAGUAGCUGAACCGAGAUUGACCCACCUCCUCCUUGUACGGAAAGAAAAGCUGUGGCCAGAGGCGCAAGGCGAGGAAGUCGCCAUAACACAUUUGGUGUGGUUUUGGGCAGACAGAACGGGCUUUUUAGGGCUGGGGCUGCUUUCUAAUGUGAAUAUGAGAACUCUUGGCUGGGAGGGGAAGGGCUGGAGGAGAGAUCAGGAAGGAGAGAUCCACAUCUGACUCCGGGCUGGCUCUCGGUGACCAUGACCACCUCCUUCCACUGGAGGGAGCAGCCUCUCCGCAGGUGGGGCGGUCCCUCAGGAGCAGGAACUGGGCUCCCGCUGGAGAGAAGCAGUGCUCCAUGUUCAAAGACCAUUGUUGCCAUUAUUAAUUGAUCGCUGUUAUUAUCAUGUAGGCAUUAAGUGGCUUCCUCUGCCCUUUGAGUUGUAACACUUAGGGCAGCUGCUAGUGAGGACAAAACGAAGCUUCCCUACUGCAAGAGCUUGAUCUGGGUCCCUGCUGCUGUGUCCCUUCUGCAAUGAGCUGUUUUACAGAUGGAGAAACUUAGUCCUCAAUGAUUUGCUGAAGGGCCGAGUUGCUUAGCCCUGCAGGGUACACAGAUGAAUAGGGAGGGUUGCUGAGCACUUGCAGCCAAGACAGGGUUGCUACCCACUGCAAGGAUGAAAAUCACUACUGGGUCAGCUCUGCAGCUGCAAAUCUGGGGAAAAGGGACCCACCCAGGCACUAGGGCAACUGCCCAGCUCCAUUGCAUCAGGGUCCCAAGGAACAAGCACGUCAGCUCUCUCCAGAGCCUUUCUCACCAUCUCACGUGCCUGCCCUGCUGUCUCUUACCAACCCAGGAGGCAGAGCUGGUGGCUGCUGCUCCACCCUCACCCUUUGGACCUCCCCACGGGGUGGGACAGGGUGGGCCCAGGUGGAGUCUGAGCUGGGUGCCAAUUCCAGGAAUGCAGCUGGAGGUGGGGGUGGGCGGUGCUGGGCCUGGACAGGUAGGAGAGAAAGGCAGGAGGCAGCUGAAGGGGGCGGUCUCAGAAGCCCCCAUGGGGAGACUCCUAUCCACCUGGCAGGCAUUUGGAACAACGUGCUUAGUAACAGCAGCAUUUGUGAAAUCUAAUUAGUGCAGGCCCAACUUCUGACUUCCUGCGCAGGGGCUCCUCCUCUAGCCCUAGGCUAUCGAGCUGAAUUAAGCUGCCUAAGAUCACCUCAUUAAAUUCACUAACCUUGCUUUUCCACCACGUUUAGCCCCUGGUGCCCUUCCUCUGUCUGUGGGAGGUGCGCGUCUGGCAUUCCUCCAGUGCGUUCCCAGGCAGGUGUUUUGAGAAACUCCCCUCCUCUUCCCGCCUCUUCCCUCCCCAAACGGCUCCCUUAAUCACGAGUUGCUUUCUUCUGAGCUCAAUAAUCACCCUGGACUAAUCCGUCCACAAAAUCCUGUGGCUGCAGUAGGAGCCCUCUUCCCAGCCCUCCCUGGCUAAGAGAUGGUGGUCCCAGAGGGGCUGAGGACUCCUCCUGGAGGCAGGCAGGGGGCUGUCUGGAGGCAGAGCGUUGGGCCUGCUGGCAAACUGGUAACUGGCACAUGUGACUUGCAUUUCCUGGGGCCUAACUGCUGGGAGUGCACUUCUGGAGUAGAGAUGGGCGAUGGGGAUGCCUGGUGAGAACAGUGUCCAGGAUAAGAGGGGAGGGGAUGGAGAAGCAGCUCUGGAGCCCAACUCGCCGUUAGUCCUGAUAAACAAACGACUCCCUGUGGGUCAGAGUACAGGGUAGGUAGCAGAAACAAUCAGGCCAGAGGGGUAUUCGUUGCAGAAAAGAAAUGUGAUGCAAUUAGUAUGCUAGGGGAAUGGAAAACUCUAACGUGGAGACAGGGCUAAAGUUACUGCCCACUCAACUCUGCGUGGAAUUGUGCUGAACGGAGGAGCACUGCAGCAAGGGCUGACCACCGCCCAGUCCAGGUUGGGUGCCUGUGCCCUGCUGUGAGACCGGACCUCAGGAAAGGGGUCGGGGGGAGGUUGGGUUGGGAAGGAGAGGCUCUGUAGCCACACCUGUGAAGCUCCAGGCAGCUUCCCUAAUGUCUCUCCUUAGCCUCUUGCAGAGAGGGCUGAUGCACGUCUUCCCCGCCCGGGCUGGUGUCUGGGUUAAUUGGACCUUGUUUAUAUAGCAUCUAUUAUUUAUGAUUUCCUUUCGUCUCUCCUGAGUGUGACAACCGUGGUUAAACAACCAGAGUUAUUCCUGCCUUGGGACAUGUAUGAGGACGGUCUCCUUUGCAGCCUACCUGAAGUGAAUGUGAGGCCGAGAGGCUUCGUGAAAGGGGUCCCAGAACCAUCAGAAACUGGCUAUGGAUCCCAAUGUUUCGUGAUUACAGGCUCGCACACGGCAGUGUUUUAAGGGCACAAAGAAGAACUAAGAGAGGAGAGGAAGCCUGGGCCAAGCCUGUCCAGGGAGUCUGUGGUGGUAGGAACAAGAGCUACCAUGCCUUGAGCCCAUUCUAAAUGGUAGGCAAGUGCUAGAUACUUUGCUCACACAUUUCAUCCUCAUAACAGCCCUAUGGUGUAGACAAUAUCAUUAUCUCCACUUCACAGGUCAGGGGACUGUGGACAAGAGGUCAGGCCAUUUGCCAAAGUCCCCCACUCAGUCUAUAGGUAGCAGGGCUCAGUUCCUGAGGAUGUCUGAUUCUAAAACCUGGUCCUUGAUCUCUGUGCUCCAUGACCUUCUGUAAUCCCCACUGUCUCCCAAACAUCAAUGAUGUCAUUAUAACCCCAUCACCUACUCUUAUCCAUACCACCCCAAAGAGAUACUCUUUUUUGAAAUCUAAAUCUCAGAUUUUCACUUUCCAGGCAAUUCACUAGGACAGAGGCCUUUCAACUUUCCUCUCUGAGAUCUUCCUCCAUGAACCAAUGACAAAAGGACCAGCCACCUCACUGUUCCCCUGUUGCCGGUAGAAAAAGCCCUACAAGGAUUAAUGCAAGAGGAAGUUCUGCUUUGGGCAUCUGCCUCUGAAACAUUGAAGGUGGAGGGAGAUAGGAUUGGCCUUUCUGGGAAGACCUCUAAGAAAGCGGUUUCCAUCGAGAACUACAGGUAACAGUUAAAGAGGAAGAGCAUGUGUAAUGUAGGAAGCUCUUUUGCUUCAGAUAGAUGUCCUUCCCUCACCCGAGAGCACAGUAACCCUAAAGCUAUAUCCUGCAUCUGUCUGGAGGGAUUGUCUAGCCUGGCCCACAUCCUGAGCCCUCAUCACCUGGGCAACCACACAGCCGACAUCGUGAGAAGUCUGAGCCCCUCAUACUCUUGAAGGUCAAUGGAUAUUGCAUAUACUGCUUCAAUGCUUUUCAACCGUUUUUGUUUUUGUUUUUGUUUUUUUACAACCUUGAGUAUUUUAAGGAUUCGCUUCUUUAAAAGCUUUGCUUCCCUCUGAAUAUUAUGACUAGCCUAUUGGGUCAGAGGCCAGGAGUCUGCAGAGGACGAUUCAUUCACCCCAGAGGCAGCUCCUUGCUUUUAUCCUGGCCUCAACAUGAUAGCUCAAACUGCCAGAUUUUACGUAGGAGGAAGGAAGACACCGAAGGAUGUUCCUAGCUGGCACAGGCUGUACUGAACACAGGUCUCACCCCACCGUGGGCAGGUGGUGGUGGAGUACAUCUGUCUGUCUCUGUGUUGGUGGCUGUGAUUUGGCAGCUCUGCCGAAGAUUUGUGAGAUGGAGAAGAAAGUUCAGGGCUGGGGUACGGGGAAAGGGAUAAGAAAGAAGAUGAGUCACUUGAGUCAGGAUAAUUUUUCCUGAUGUCAAAGCCUCACCCAGGAGAGCUCUCGCUGUUGCCUGCUUUUAUCUGGAAAACAAUGUCAGCAGCAUCUCUCAAAAUUAGGUCAGGGCUUGCAGAGGCAGGGGCUUGCCAAGGUGCUAACUGCCUGAAUCCUCGGUGGGUUUACACAGCUCUCUGCUCUGACAAAUGCCUCCUUUGUCUCCCUGAAAAGCCUGCCUCUUUUCUCCUUCACCCCUUCACUCCCCCCACAAACAACUGAAUUUGGAAGGUUAAAAAUCACUUCGCUUGACAAGUUGAAAGCUCUCCCUCCCCCAUCACGUUGUUUCUCUUCCUGCCCAGGGAAGGCAGCUACUGUGUGUCACCCUGGGGACUGGAAUCACUUUGCAAAGAGCGCAGAUCUGCAGUUUUCACAAUCGCAGUUGUCAUCUUCGGAGCAGCGUGUGCCUGUCCACCCUGGGAGAGCCUUAUGAAGGGUGUGUCUCAAGCAUUUCAGGGGGCUGCAGAAUUAGGGGGACAGUCCUGGUGGCUUGGUCUCCUUAGGCUUGUCUUGGCUUAGGUUUCUGUGUGACAACAGCAUGAUAAAAAUCCGUCCAAAGCAAGAGAAGCAAUAGCAGGAUAACAGGGCAGCAACAGUCAGUUCUUGUUUGGCUUUCCAGGACAACGUGGCUUUCUCUUAUUUUUUGUGCCUGACACUGUUUGCACUGACUAAGAUAUCAUGAUGAUGAAACACUGUUGAAUCUAAAAGGUGGGUAGGGCCUCAGAAGGGGUGAGAGGAGGCCUUAGAAGCUAAUUAUAAUCCUCUAGAAGUGUGUGGAAAUGGGAACCUGAGCCAGGAAAGUCCUGUGGAUUCACUAGAUUCUGGGACUGUACCUUAUCUAUGCUGUGCAAAGGAAUAAGAAACCAGAGCUGUCUUGGGAACCAGCAACAUCAGAUGUUCCCAGGAGCAAUGUUUGCAGUUUUCAGAGAAAUUCCAAUCAGGCUUUACUACUAUCUACUGGAAGAGACAAGAAGGUAAUUUGACCAGAUCAAGACCAUCCAGGCCGGCAGAGCACAAUUCAUGACUGGUCCAUGGAGCUCUCCUCAAGGAUCCCACCAGUUUCACACAGAAGAUGGCGUUGCCAAAGCCUGGGGCUCACCCCAUCCCUUUGUGUCUGUCACAGCUCUCCCAUUUCUGGAGGAGUCGAGUUAGCCCCCUCCUCCUCCUUUGAAUCUCUUCUCUUUAAGACUCGCAGCUUCAAUACCCAAAUGCUGCCAUGUUUGUAGUGGUAAUGCAUGGAAUAACAAGUAGUUAUUGUCAUACAAGAAGAAUAAGGAAGCUUUUGAUGAUCUCAAAUAAUGUGGAUAUCUACAUCAUUUUUGCAUGCCAGUGAGUAUAUCCAGCUUUGAGGAGAUGGUUAUUUUUAUACCUUUCAAGACUUGGUAUACUUAAUUAUCUAGGGAAACUCAUAACCCCAACUUCCUAAGCCACUCCUAAAGAAAAAGCACAGAUGCAGUGACUGUGCUAAAUGCAGUGACUAAAGGCUUUCUGGCCUCCUUAUACUUCAUCUCAGGGCUGGAGGUAACUCAGAUGUACCUUGCUAUUUUCACGAUCCAUUGGUGUCUCAGUAAUGAAUGUUCACCGCUGCAGUGCCCUCAUUUAGCCUAGUAACCUCAGUAAGGUAAUAUUUGAUUUGUGCUAAGUAUCUGAUUAAACAACAUAAAGUAUUUAACCUAUUGAUCUUUUAUACUUUGCCAGCCCUACAUUGCUGGAUAUACUUUAAUUACUGAUGUGGAGAACUUUCCUGAAUGGGAUUCGCAUCUCGUUAAGACCUUCUCUUUGUCUUUAAGGUGCCAUGUCAACAACUUCUCCUUCUUGUUGCCUCUAGGCUUUUCUUCCACCCACUAGACCCUGCUUGAUUCUGCAAGACUGACAUUUGGUUAAUCUACUGAAAGUAGAGUCCUUUAUGUAACCAUGAAUCUUACUGCUUAUUUUGGAAAGUCAAUGACCACAUAAACAAUCGGACUUGUUACUUUGUCCACCCUGAUCUUUGGAGCAUGGGAAGUUGUCCAAAGUGACAACCCCAUUUUAGGCAACUGGUCACAGCUGUUGGAUGGACCUAACCCUUCUAUCUCACAAGGAGAAGAGGCCAGUGGGCAUCCAUCAAGAGAAAUCACAGGAAACCAUUUAGACUGGUCAAUUGGUUAGCUAAUUGCUCUAGUCUGAACCACUUCUUAGAAAACUACAGAAAAUCAUACAUUUUUCCUCUUGCCUGCUAGGAUAUAGUAAUGAAUAUUAAUAAUAACUAGCUGCUUUACAUGCUGUCUUUUCUUCAAGAAUCUCAGACAUGGUAAGUUUAUUUAUUUUUUUCUCUUAUUUUAAAACUAGAUCUAAAAAGGCUGAGAUAGCUUCUCCAUUGGCCCCCCAAAAUGAGAGUGACACCUCAUAGGAUUAAGAGAAUUCAAUGAGAAAAUUCACGUGGAACACUUACCAUAAUGCCACUGAGUAAGCACUAAAAAAAUAGGAGUUAUACUAUUAGUUAUUAUUAUAUCUUCUAAGAAGCCUGUGACUUGUGGGUUGCCCAUGAAUUUCUGAAUAGAGUCAGGCUGGGAGGAAGGCACACUGGUCCAAGUGUCUGGUUACUUUGCCCAGCCUACCUGGUAAAGACUGUCCCACCCUGCAUGCCAACAUCCUUUGGUCUGUACUGGCCCAUCACACAUAGGUCUUGGACAAAAAAGAGUGGUUUGUGGAGGAUUAAAGCCCAUGAAAAGGCGAAUGUUCACCUUCACUCAAGAUGCUGCCCGAAGUCAGAUCAGAAGCAGAGUCUGAAUGACUCUCUAAACAGCUUCUCAAAGGAUGCCUUCCACAGGCUGAUGUGCUUGAUAACAAUGCAAAUUCAAGGAACAUCUCCCAGCCAACUGAACUGGAAUUUCUAUGAGUACAGCCUAGGAAUUUGCAAUUAAAUCAAGCUCGUGGGUGAUUCUUACGUUCAAUAAAGUUUGAGAAGCAUACUACUAAGUGGUGCCUUUAAAGGCAACUCAAAAACUUGCAGAAAACAUCUAGAGAAGGCUGGAGGUGGCCUGGUGCUUACUGUAUAAGAGCAUCUGACAAGCUCCACCCUGUAGGUGGCAUUCUAGUCUUGAAAAGCAUGAUAAAAAUUUGGGGUUGCUACUAAGCAGGGACAACUGCACAGCCUGUAGAGUGGCUUGGAGACCUACCGAUAGCCCUGCUAGGAUCUGGGGCAGACAGUGGGCACCAGCCAAUGCUAGGGUAUGUGAAGGGCAAAGUGGGCCCUUUGGGGUAAGAGAACUGUGAGGCCAGUGGUGCCCAUAAGACUAUUGAAAUAGCGCUCCAUGACCUUCUCCAUUGCCUCUGCAAAUACCCCGGGGAGCACUUUUACUCCCUUCUGGCUUCUCUGUCACUUGGGAUGCAGUUGGGAUGCUUACUUUCACUUCCAAAGGAUGACACCUCAGAGAAUGCAAACUCUAAUACACAUAAGACACAGACAAUCCAUGGAAAACACGAUACUGCUGAGGUGUAUGCACGUGUGCACACUGAUGUGCAUUGCAUCAUUGCAUUUGUUCCAAAGCCAGUAAAAAUGAUUUUCAGAUAAUCUGCUAUUUUGGAUCGUCUGCACUGCUGCUUGCUUCCAUUAGCAUGGCUAAUUGAGAACUGACUGUGUGUCUUGGACUGUUUCCAGGAAGGGAACCCAUUGCCUGUAUAAUACAGGCUCCCUGAGAGAGCCAAGUAAAUGGCUGGAAAUGUCAGGUUGAAUGCCCAUUGGGAGAGCAAACUUUUAAGGACGACCUGACCAUUCUCAGGCCAGAGAAGCAAUCUUGUUCAGCAUGUCACAUUGAUUGCCAAGUCAGUAAACCAUAAAACUGUCCCACAGCUAGAGCAUGCACUGACUCUGAGAAAGAUGAGGCUUGGUUAGUAAAGGAUGAAGCCAUUCCAAGACCAAUAAAAGAUGCAAUAUGGUUUUCCCUGGGCUGUAUAUUAACACCAUCCUGGAAGCUAUAGGGGAUAGAGGCUUGGCAAACAACUGCGUUUUGCUUUGACUUUUGCAAAGUGAGGAUGAGAUAGAGGCCAAUGGGGAGAUCAUCUGAGGCCAGAUGAAAGGCUUGGAAAGAGUAAGUCUUUACAGAAACCUAGUCUCUAAAGAAACCACUGAUGUUUAUGUGUCUUGGCCAGUGUCUUCUGUCAUAUAACAUCUUGGUGAAAUACCUCGAAUAGAUCUUAAAACCAAAACAUAUGAAGAAAAAAGGAAAAUAGAAAGCACAAUGUUGUAACUGCCUUCUGGGUAACCAUGUUUUGGAUGGUGUCAUUUUUCUUAUGACAUAAGCUCCCAGAUGGCACAGACAGUGUCUCUCAGGAAAAAUAGCAACUAGCAGAGGGUCAUGCCUUGUAUGAGUUUCUGAUACAUAUUGUUUGGUUGUGUGUUGUUUAUCACAAAGAGAACAGAUACUAUUGUCAGAAAAUCUCACCAGCUGUGUUUUGCAAGAAGAAUGAGAGAAGUUCCCUGCAACUUUUACAAUUCUGUGUUCUGUCCCAAAUAAUGAUGAGAGAUGAAUCACCUGGGCUGAAGGAUGAUUGAAGAAGGAGGUACAUUGCUCAAGAAGGUCAGAAAGCCUGUGUCUAGGGUUAAUCUGUGCUCACGGAGUCCUUUCUAUGUGUCGCUAAUAGCUAGAGGGUCUGCUGAUUUCAUUUGUGCCCAGUCAACUCCCUGGGCACACCCCUAAUCAAAACCAGAGGACAUAAACUGUGAAGAUUUCCAGGAUGGGUUUCUGAGGACGGCUGUCUAUAGCUUCAGAUAUGGCACUAGACACAGUGGUGCUCAUGAUUGGCUGCACGUUAGAAUCACCUGGGGGAGCUAGAAAACUAUGGAUACCCAGACUCCAGCCCCAAAUAUUCUGAUUUAAUUGGUCGGGGGUGGGUCCCCAGUAUGAAAAAAUUUUUAAAUCACCUAGGAGAUUUUACUUGCAAGCAGGGUUGAGACAGCCUGAGCUAAAGCCUCUUUAGUGGUAUGAGGGAAAACAGGAGGCUCUGACUCAGUUCACAAAGUUGAAGAUCAAAUACAGCCUUUGAAACAGCAUUGUUCCUCUUUACAUUAUGCCAGGAAAUAAAUGACUGUGGGAGAUGGGGUGUAGGUAAAAAGGAAUGAAGGAAAAGGAGAAAAAAGGAGAGAGCCAAAAUGCCCAUUGAGAGGAGAGGAAUAAGAUUGAUUUUCCCCUAAUAGUUUUUAUUCAACCAGGGUCUGAAAUAUGCUCAGUCUACCUCAUGAAAAGUGUGUCACCCAGGGCACAGUGGUGUUUCUAUCGCCAGUCACGGAGGAGUCAGGCAACUGCUGAACUGCAGCAUUAGGGACCCAUAAAAGGAAAAACGCAUUGCUAUGACUAACAGCCCAUUACCAUAACAAUUGUAAAUGACUUUAGGGAGUCUGCCCAUUGACCAUCAAAGAAACCAGAAAACGGGGCCAGGCCUCUUGGAGAGCACUAGAGGCUUAUGAAAGCUGUGCACUGGGAAUCUUAGCGUCUUAGUUCCUUCGUGCUGCUGUCACAGAGUACCUGAGAGUGGGUAACUUAUAAAUAACAGAAAUUUAUUUCUUACAGUUCUAGAGGCUGGGAAGUGCAAGAUCAAAGCACUGGCAUCUGUUCUGGCGCUGCUCGGAGAUUCUGAUUUGCAUCCAUGGUUCAGAACCACUUGCCUGCUGGACUGUCUGUGUCAUCGAAGUUGAGGAACCAUUAAGCAUUACUAAAUAUGUACAGCAGGAUCUUGGUUCAGCAGGAAGAGUGUGGAUUCUUGGAAUGCCUCAUGUGGCAAGUUAUUUCAGGUUUUCUUGUCAUCCUCCUCCCUAUAUCUAUAAUGGACAGCCUUGGGUUUUACCUCUUGUCCAGGCACCAGUUCCUCUUUCUGCAGGGAUGUGAGUGAGCAAGGAAGUGCUUAAGCACCAGGGAAAGGGGAGAAAGAAAAAGUGGGGGUAAUCCACCGACUGUCUAACCAGUUCCUGAAAAAUAGAGGGCCAACUACCAUUAGAACUCUUAGAGGAUUGCUGAGCCUUCUAAGAGUUUACCAAGAAGGGACAAAUCUAAUGAUAAGAAAGUUACAGCCAAGUUUAUUGAACAAUAACCCAUUUCCUUCACACAGAAACAAUGAAGAAACAUUUUUUCUCACUUACAUGGCACAAGGAAAACAAUAUCAGUGAUUUGUGCUGCCUGGUUGUCGGGUCUCUUUACCAACUUGUCUUAUUUUCUUACUGCAUGAUAUGAACACGUAGGGUUAAACAUAGCUCUCUUUUUCUCUCUGGUGAGGUUUUUGCUUUUCCCAUUUUUAUUUGUGUUGACUAGGAGGUCUUUCAUCAGAAGAAUAAAAGACCAUGCUUUUGAGGAGCCAGUCACUGAGUUUCUGUGUUGAUCAAGCAGCAUUGCUGGUACAGGUGUAUUCAUUUUGGGUCUGGGAUGGAUACAGGUUUGUUGAAAGGUCCCUGGGGAAUGAGAGGGCUUAGCCAACAGUCUCAGGGUCAGCAUUUCCUAGUCCUACAAGAUUCAGAUUCCUGAUGUGGAGCCAAGGAAAGGCUUGAGUGACUAGGGAGCUUUUUGAACAAGGCACUUUAAUUUGCUAAGAACUCUACAUCAUUUUGUACAAUUUAUUUCAGGGAGAGAUAUCACUUUAGGUUAAAAAAAAAACAAAGGAAAAAAAGCUCCAGACUAGUCCAUGAUGGAGGACAAAGCAUCUCAGUAAAUAACUUUGAAAGUCAAGAGUUACAGGAAAUAAAAAAAGCAAACAAUCAGAGAAUGUGCCACUAAUGAAUUCAAUCGCAGCAAAAGUCCAUUUCCAUUCCCUUGAACUCUACACAAUUUCCAGUUGCAAAUAUCUUUCAGAAGUACUGUACACACACAGUUGGAUAUUGAGUUGCUUGACAAACAUUUCUGAUCAAAACUACUUGCCUAGAAAUGGCUGCUGGAACAACAAUAAUGUGGUUUUAAAACGAGCUGGGCUGUUUGCACAUAGGUGUAGUCUAAGAGUUUAAUGGAGUUUUGCAGAAGGGAAUUGCCUAGAAAAUAGUGGGUUUUUAAGGAUGAACUUUUGACUCCCAACACGAGAUGAAGGGAAGAUCGGGGGAGAAUAGGGAGAGAAGGGCUGUCUCUUCUGUUUUCUCUGGAGCACCAUGGCUAUACUAACUUCUACUUUGCUGUACUGGACUCAGCAAUCAAUUUCUUCUACAAUCUGUUCCCAGACACACUCUCAACUCACGUCGGUUUAGUUGAAUGGUUGCCCUACCUGGAUUCUGAGACUCUUCUUGGGGCCUUAUCUGGGAUAUUUACAGCUUCCAUUUUUGAGAAGUGUGUGUGUAAGGGCACUAAUUUAAGAACUAAAAAGGCCGGUGACAUCUAGGGAAAUGUCUUCACUUUGGGCAGGAGUGGGAUGACCCUUUGAAUGCUGCACAAAAGGCCAUGGAUCUGGCUGAUCUGAGGAGGCUGGUGUUUUCUGAUCUUGGGACAAAGCAGUCACCUGGAGCUCUUGCACCCUGGAGAAAAUCUUGUAACUUCUUUCUCUGGGCCAAGGGGCAAGGCUGUUUGGUCACACUCUUUAGUGAUUCACAGCUGGGAAUCUUCUGUCUCUGAGCAAUUGCAGCACCUCAUAAGGGGUUGUUAGCUGAGCCCCUGUGUCUUAGUCAGUUUGGACUAUAACAAAACACCAUAAACUGAGUGGUUUAUAAACAACAGUAAUUUAUUUCUUAUAGUUCUAGAGGCUGAAAGAUCAAGAUCAAGGUGGUGGCAGAUUUGGUGACUGGUGAGGGUUGGCUUCUUCAUAGGCAGUGCCUUCUCUCUGUGUCCUCACAUCGUGGAAGGGACAAGGGGCCUUUCUUGGACAUCUUUCAUAAAGGCACUAAUCCCGUUCAUGAACUCCGUUUUCAUGACCUAAUCACCUCCCAAAGGCCCCACCUCCUAAUACCGUGGCUUUGGAGGUGAGAAUUUUAGCAUGUGAAUUUGGGGGAACAUAACCAUUCAGAAUAAAACACCCUGGCUAUAGAAGAGAGGUGGCUUUUCCUCUCCCCAGAUGGCUUCCCUUUCCCCACAGUCCAAUUGGCUGUCUAAGCUUAGAGAGCUGCCCCUGGGGAAGAGGAGCCCUGUCAACUGCACCCGGAAUGAUGGCCUUUCCUCCUGUUCUUCCUUAUUAGUUUCUUCCCGCUUCUAUAGGAUGACAGAGAGGCCCCCCUCUUAGUUUUCAUUGUGGCUGGGAGCCAGUGGAUAGCAUGCCAUUUGCCGUCUCAAAUCUAUAAAGAGCUGUUGGCAGGUCUUCCUCCCUCCCUUCCUCCCUCCCUCCCUUCCUCCCUUCCUUCCUUCCUUCCUUCCUCC